rnacentral:rRNA from 1 species
UACGUAGGGGGCUAGCGUUGUCCGGAAUCAUUGGGCGUAAAGCGCGUGUAGGCGGUCCGGUAAGUCCGCUGUGAAAGUCGAGGGCUCAACCCUCGAAUGCCGGUGGAUACUGUCGGGCUUGAGUACGGGAGAGGCGAGUGGAAUUCCUGGUGUAGCGGUGAAAUGCGCAGAUAUCAGGAGGAACACCGAUGGCGAAGGCAGGUCUCUGGGCCACUACUGACGCUGAGAAGCGAAAGCAUGGGGAGCGAACGGG